AAUACGGGACCUGCUGCCAGACGUCAUGGAGACCUUGAGGUUUGCCAACACGUCCAUUGCUCUCAAGGCGAGCAAGAUCUCCAGAAAUGUGAUGACUCAUGUGGGGAAGAGAGAGGCCCGUCCCAUUGUUGUGGAGCUGGCUGAGAAGCUCCUGCCUCUUUUCAGUCAUGUGUCAAGUGAAGUGCGCGAAGGCUCCAUCCUCCUCUUCAAAGAUGUGAUGGAAGCUGCCGUGUGGUGGCAGAAGAGAAACAUGAGGAAGACUGUGCACAGGGGCCUGCUCCCUCUGCUCUUUCAGAUGAGCGAUGAGACCCCAAGUGUUGCAGAGGCCUCUGGAGAAGCCCUCGUACG
ensembl:lncRNA